UGUCAGUCCUCUCCCAUUUCACUCUCUCAUGAUCCCUUCUCUCUUUCUCUCUCUCUCUCUCCAACGCAAGCGAUCCUCCUACCAGCCACCGUCCUCCACUAUCGCACACGAGCACCCACCUCCUCACCGGCGACGGUAUGACCCACCUCUCCACCAGCAACAGUACCACAUAUCUCCCCACCAGCGACGGACAAUAGUAGCUACUUUGAUUUGUGUCUCCUCCAGCGCACACCAAAGGGUAGGAGCUUCUCUUUUAUCUAUUUCUUGUAAGAGCAACAUUUUUUUCUCUCUAUUUCUCGCUCGCAACAACCAUUGGAGCACACCCUGGUGAAGCUGACAAAAGAAUUGCAUUUGGCCAAUUGAGAAGAUUUGCUUUGCAAGAAUUACAGCUAGCUAUAGACAACUUUAAUGAGAAAAAUGUCCUUGGAAAGGGGGGUUUUGGAAAGGUUUAUAAAGGAGUGCUUUCAAAUAUUACUAAAGUGGUUAUGAAACGAUUAAAUGACUAUGAGAGUUCAGAUGGAGAUGCAGCAUUCCAGCAUGAAGUUGAGAUGAUAAGUGUAGCGGUUCACAGGAAUCUAUUAUGUCUUAUUGGGUUCUGCUCAACACCAACAGAACGCCUUUGGUGUAUUCCUUCAUGCAGAACGCCUUUUGACUUAUUCUAGUGAAUUUUUGAAGUCUUUUGAUUUUAUAUAUAGCUGGUGUAUGGACGUCACUGGUAGCUCAUAUGUUUAAAUAGGUUUGUGUGAAAUUAUUAUUUUAAGUUGGAAUAUACUUUGUUUGCAAUGUUGACAUUAAAAGUUAUAAUUUUUUUUGGA